rnacentral:rRNA from 1 species
CACAUGCAAGUCGAACGGAAAGGCCYYAUGCUUGCWRGGGUGCUCGAGUGGCGAACGGGUGAGUAACACGUAGGUGAUCUGCCUUUCACUUCGGGAUAAGCUUGGGAAACUGGGUCUAAUACCGGAUAUUCACGGCACCGUGGUUGGUGUGGUGGAAAGCUUUUGCGGUGGGAGAUGAGCUUGCGGCCUAUCAGCUUGUUGGUGGGGUAAUGGCCUACCAAGGCGGCGACGGGUAGCCGGCCUGAGAGGGUGUGCGGCCACAUUGGGACUGAGAUACGGCCCAGACUCCUACGGGAGGCAGCAGUGGGGAAUUUUGCACAAUGGGCGGAAGCCUGAUGCAGCGACGCCGUGUGGGGGAUGAAGGCCUUCGGGUUGUAAACUCCUUUCGUCAGGGACGAAGUUUGUUUGACGGUACCUGGAUAAGAAGCACCGGCUAACUACGUGCCAGCAGCCGCGGUAAUACGUAGGGUGCGAGCGUUGUCCGGAUUUACUGGGCGUAAAGGGCUCGUAGGUGGUGUGUUGCGUCGUCUGUGUAAUCCAGGGGCUUAACUUUUGGUUGGCAGGCGAUACGGGCAUUGCUUGAGUGCUGUAGGGGAGACUGGAAUUCCUGGUGUAGCGGUGAAAUGCGCAGAUAUCAGGAGGAACACCGAUGGCGAAGGCAGGUCUCUGGGCAGUUACUGACGCUGAGGAGCGAGAGCAUGGGUAGCGAACAGGAUUAGAUACCC